rnacentral:rRNA from 1 species
CAGCAGCCGCGGGAAUACGAAGGGUGCAAGCGUUAAUCGGAAUUACUGGGCGUAAAGCGUGCGUAGGCGGUGAGCUAAGUCUGCUGUGAAAUCCCCGGGCUCAACCUGGGAAUGGCAGUGGAUACUGGCUCGCUAGAGUGUGUCAGAGGAUGGUGGAAUUCCCGGUGUAGCGGUGAAAUGCGUAGAGAUCGGGAGGAACAUCAGUGGCGAAGGCGGCCAUCUGGGACAACACUGACGCUGAGGCACGAAAGCGUGGGGAGCAAACAGGAUUAGAUACCCCAGUAGUCCCUGUCUCUUAUAC